rnacentral:rRNA from 1 species
GAUGAACGCUGGCGGCGUGCCUAAUACAUGCAAGUCGAGCGAAGCGGGGACGGGUGAGUAACACGUGGAUAACCUCCUAUACUACUGGGAUAACUUCUGGAACCCGUAGCUAUACCUGAUACUUCUCGAUGGAUCCGCGCUGCAUUAGCUAGUUGGUAAGGUAACGGCUUCCCAGGGCAACGAUGCAUAGCCGACCUGAGAGGGUGAGAGGCAAAAAGGGAACUGAGACACGGUCCAGACUCCUACGGGAGGAAGCAGUAGGGAAUCUUACGCAAUGAGAGAAAGCCUGACGGAGCAACGCCGCGUGAGGGAUGAAGGUCUUCGGAUCGUAAAACUCUGUUAUUAGGGAAGCGGUACCUAAUCAGAAAGCCACGGCUAACUACGUGCCAGCAGCCGCGGUAAUAC